UGGGGAAUAUUGCACAAUGGGGGAAACCCUGAUGCAGCAACGCCGCGUGAGUGAUGACGGCCUUCGGGUUGUAAAGCUCUGUCUUCAGGGACGAUAAUGACGGUACCUGAGGAGGAAGCCACGGCUAACUUCGUGCCAGCAGCCGCGGUAAUACGAAGGAUGCAAGCGUUAUCCGGAAUUAUUGGGUCCAAAGGGUGCGUAGGCGGACUAUUAAGUCAGUGGUGAAAGCCUGCAGCUUAACUGCAGAAUUGCCAUUGAUACUGUUAGUCUUGAGUACAGUUGAGGUAGGCGGAAUGUGUCAUGUAGCGGUGAAAUGCUUAGAUAUGACACAGAACACCGAUUGCGAAGGCAGCUUGCUAAGCUGUAACUGACGCUGAGGCACGAAAGCGUGGGGAGCAAACA
rnacentral:rRNA from 1 species